ACUCCUACGGGAGGCAGCAGUGGGGAAUAUUGGACAAUGGGGGAAACCCUGAUCCAGCCAUGCCGCGUGUGUGAAGAAGGUCUUCGGAUUGUAAAGCACUUUAAGUUGGGAGGAAGAGCAGUAAGUUAAUACCUUGCUGUUUGACGUUACCGACAGAAUAAGCACCGGCUAACUCUGUGCCAGCAGCCGCGGUAAUACAGAGGGUGCAAGCGUUAAUCGGAAUUACUGGGCGUAAAGCGCGCGUAGGUGGUUGCGUAAGUUGAAGGUGAAAUCCCCGGGCUUAACCUGGGAACUGCCUCCAAAACUGCGUGGCUAGAGUACGGUAGAGGGUAGUGGAAUUUCCUGUGUAGCGGUGAAAUGCGUAGAUAUAGGAAGGAACACCAGUGGCGAAGGCGACUACCUGGACUGAUACUGACACUGAGGUGCGAAAGCGUGGGAGCAAACAGGAUUAGAUACCCUGGUAGGAUAGCG
rnacentral:rRNA from 1 species